rnacentral:rRNA from 1 species
UACGAAGGGUGCAAGCGUUAAUCGGAAUCACUGGGCGUAAAGGGCGCGUAGGCGGCUCAUGAAGGCUGUGGUGAAAGUCCGGGGCUCAACCUCGGAUCGGCCGUGGCGACUCGUGGGCUGGAGCACUGUAGAGGCGGGUGGAAUUCCGGGUGUAGCGGUGGAAUGCGUAGAGAUCCGGAAGAACACCAGUGGCGAAGGCGGCCCGCUGGGCAGUGGCUGACGCUGAGGCGCGACAGCGUGGGGAGCAAACAGG